rnacentral:tRNA from 1 species
GGAGCGUAGACCAACUGCCCUAAAUUAGUCAGUGUGUUUUGUCACUUCGCUCGGGCGGGAUAGGCAAAGGGUCAGGGGUUCGAAUCCCCUCAGCUCCACCA